AUAAAUGCCAAUAUAUAAAUACAUAUAUAAAUAAUUUCAGUAUAAAAUAAAUGCAUUACUGAUUGUGCACCUAUUUCUUCUGCUGCUGGGUCCUGCUUCAUCUGCACCUGCCACAAUUCGGUUAAUUUGGCGCAUUCAGAUGCCUCUUGUGUCUUGUUGCACACAACCCUAGGCUGAGUUCAGCCCCGACAAAACGUAGCAAACCGGUGCAAAAGGUUUUGGAUUAAACUCUAUAGAGCGAUUAUUGGGUCAGAUUUAAAACUAAAAGUCGAAAUCGAAAAUGAAUUUGGUAUUUAGUAUUGGGCAUUUGGUAUUUAGGAUUGGGCAUUUAGUCAUUUAGCCAUUUAGGAUUGCGGAUUUGGGGAUUGAGUUGUGUAUGCGAAUGAGGAGGCGUGACCCAAAGGCUGCAGGGAGGGUCUGGAACAGCUGAGGCGCAGAGGUACUUUAUGGACAGCAGGGGGAGCUCUGACUGCCAGCACACUGCGAUGAAAGCAAUCAGAGGGAGUGAGCAGGGCUGGAGGGAAGAAUAUCAUUUAUAAUACCAUAACUAAAAGCGUACAGCAUUUCUGUCCAUGUGGCCUCACACACAAAGUCAACAGCAAAAGGAAUGCUAUCCAUCUGACGAGAAAGCAGCGGACAGUACAGCAGACAAAGAUGUUUCACCUGGACAUGAAGGACCACUUGGUGUCACAGCUUUGGAUCAACCAUCUGCAGUCCACUGGGUCACACCACAAGUUGGAAAUUACAGCUACAGCUGAUUCAGUAACCUCUGAAUCCACUCAGGACUUUUUAUCUCACUUAGACAUAGACAUUACUCUUCAUUAAAGACUUGUAUUUUA